rnacentral:rRNA from 1 species
AAAUUGAAGAGUUUGAUCAUGGCUCAGAUUGAACGCUGGCGGCAGGCCUAACACAUGCAAGUCGAACGGUAACAGGAAGCAGCUUGCUGCUUCGCUGACGAGUGGCGGACGGGUGAGUAAUGUCUGGGAAACUGCCUGAUGGAGGGGGAUAACUACUGGAAACGGUAGCUAAUACCGCAUAACGUCGCAAGACCAAAGAGGGGGACCUUAGGGCCUCUUGCCAUCGGAUGUGCCCAGAUGGGAUUAGCUAGUAGGUGGGGUAACGGCUCACCUAGGCGACGAUCCCUAGCUGGUCUGAGAGGAUGACCAGCCACACUGGAACUGAGACACGGUCCAGACUCCUACGGGAGGCAGCAGUGGGGAAUAUUGCACAAUGGGCGCAAGCCUGAUGCAGCCAUGCCGCGUGUAUGAAGAAGGCCUUCGGGUUGUAAAGUACUUUCAGCGGGGAGGAAGGGAGUAAAGUUAAUACCUUUGCUCAUUGACGUUACCCGCAGAAGAAGCACCGGCUAACUCCGUGCCAGCAGCCGCGGUAAUACGGAGGGUGCAAGCGUUAAUCGGAAUUACUGGGCGUAAAGCGCACGCAGGCGGUUUGUUAAGUCAGAUGUGAAAUCCCCGGGCUCAACCUGGGAACUGCAUCUGAUACUGGCAAGCUUGAGUCUCGUAGAGGGGGGUAGAAUUCCAGGUGUAGCGGUGAAAUGCGUAGAGAUCUGGAGGAAUACCGGUGGCGAAGGCGGCCCCCUGGACGAAGACUGACGCUCAGGUGCGAAAGCGUGGGGAGCAAACAGGAUUAGAUACCCUGGUAGUCCACGCCGUAAACGAUGUCGACUUGGAGGUUGUGCCCUUGAGGCGUGGCUUCCGGAGCUAACGCGUUAAGUCGACCGCCUGGGGAGUACGGCCGCAAGGUUAAAACUCAAAUGAAUUGACGGGGGCCCGCACAAGCGGUGGAGCAUGUGGUUUAAUUCGAUGCAACGCGAAGAACCUUACCUGGUCUUGACAUCCACAGAACUUUCCAGAGAUGGAUUGGUGCCUUCGGGAACUGUGAGACAGGUGCUGCAUGGCUGUCGUCAGCUCGUGUUGUGAAAUGUUGGGUUAAGUCCCGCAACGAGCGCAACCCUUAUCCUUUGUUGCCAGCGGUCCGGCCGGGAACUCAAAGGAGACUGCCAGUGAUAAACUGGAGGAAGGUGGGGAUGACGUCAAGUCAUCAUGGCCCUUACGACCAGGGCUACACACGUGCUACAAUGGCGCAUACAAAGAGAAGCGACCUCGCGAGAGCAAGCGGACCUCAUAAAGUGCGUCGUAGUCCGGAUUGGAGUCUGCAACUCGACUCCAUGAAGUCGGAAUCGCUAGUAAUCGUGGAUCAGAAUGCCACGGUGAAUACGUUCCCGGGCCUUGUACACACCGCCCGUCACACCAUGGGAGUGGGUUGCAAAAGAAGUAGGUAGCUUAACCUUCGGGAGGGCGCUUACCACUUUGUGAUUCAUGACUGGGGUGAAGUCGUAACAAGGUAACCGUAGGGGAACCUGCGGUUGGAUCACCUCCUUACCUUAAAGAA